rnacentral:rRNA from 1 species
ACGAACCGUCCGAACGUUAUUCGGAAUCACUGGGCUUAAAGGGUGCGUAGGCGGCGCGGAAAGUUGGGUGUGAAAUCCCUCGGCUCAACCGAGGAACUGCGCCCAAAACUACCGUGCUCGAGGGAGAUAGAGGUGAGCGGAACUUAGGGUGGAGCGGUGAAAUGCGUUGAUAUCCAGCGGAACUCCGGUGGCGAAGGCGGCUCGCUGGACCUUUUCUGACGCUGAGGCGCGAAAGCCAGGGGAGCGAACGGGA